CCAGACUCCUACGGGAGGCAGCAGUGGGGAAUAUUGGGCAAUGGGAGGAAUCCUGACCCAGCGACGCCGCGUGAACGAUGAAGGCCUUAGGGUUGUAAAGUUCUUUUAUGUGGGAAGAAUAAAGUGACGGUACCACAUGAAUAAGCCCCGGCUAACUACGUGCCAGCAGCCGCGGUAAUACGUAGGGGGCGAGCGUUGUCCGGAAUUACUGGGCGUAAAGGGCACGCAGGCUGUGCUUCAAGUCAGCUGUAAAAGGAUGCGGCUUAACCGUGUUAUGCGGCUGAGACUGAGGUGCUGGAGUACCGGAGAGGCAAGUGGAAUUCCCAGUGUAGCGGUGAAAUGCGUAGAUAUUGGGAAGAACAUCGGUGGCGAAGGCGACUUGCUGGACGGUAACUGACGCUGAGGUGCGAAAGCCAGGGUAGCGAACGGGAUUAGAUACCCCGGUAGUCCUGGCCGUAAACGAUGAAUGCUAGGUGUGCGAGCAGAGAUGUUGGUGUGCCGCAGUUAACGCGAUAAGCAUUCCGCCUGGGGAGUACGGUCGCAAGAUUGAAACUCAAAGGAAUUGACGGGGCCCGCACAAG
rnacentral:rRNA from 1 species